CCCCUCGCACUUCACCGCCGUUACCACAGGCUAUGAACAAGAGCUAUCUGAUGUGCUGCUGAUUUGAAAGAAGCCUAAGGUUGAGGGUACACUUUUGAGUGCAUCAGGUUUUGGAGAAGAAAAAGCUUCAGGUGAUGUUUUUUCCUGGUUUCUGCUUGAUCGAGAUAGAAGAUGCUAGCAGUAAGCAGUGUGCUACUGGAUAAAAACAGAGCCAAGCAAAGAACCGGGUUGCUUCUUGUUGUGUGCGUUGCUUGAGAGAGAAGAUAGCAGAAAUGAGCUUCUCCAUCAGAACAUGAAGAGCUGAGAAGGAAAUUUGCUUCCUGCUAUACAAGGUUUCCUAAACUGCCAAGGUUGUGACACUCAAAUUGAGGGUUUGUUGCUAGAAAAUAAAUUGUGUCUUAGCCAUUAGUUGCUCUGAAACUAUUUAGCUUGCCUGCACCAUAUUGAGGGUAGGGCAGGUGCAUUCUCUUAUGGGAGUGACCAUCUAUGAGCUAGAUUUUAGUUGUGUCUCUGCUUGUGAUUGAAAUAAUGACCUGAAGUGGAUUUUAGGGUAGGGCAGGUGCAUAGAGUUUCCAAACCUAUGCUUAUGGGUUCUUACUCUGAUUUGUUGAAUGGAUCUGCAAUAUUAAAUAAUGGAGGUAGUGAAGAAUAUAUUGUGAACCACAUUUCUCUUGAUAUAUUGUAUCAUGUUUUUGGCCAGGAUGUUUUUUUGUACAAUUGACCAUUGAAGUAUUU